GUUGUCGGCACACAUCGUCACUUCUUCUCUUUCAAACAGCAUUUGAAGAUGCAGGGAUAACACACCCAGCGAAAGUUUAAGGGGGGAGACCAAUGAAAGCAGAAUGUACGCCUCCCACUUCUCAGGAGAUAAAACAGCAGGCUGUAAAUCAUCUCAUCAUUGUCCUGACCUGCAGUGAGGAGCUUUCACAGACUCACACGUCCAGCAUGAGGCCUGUCCAGCUCCACACGCUGAAACCUUAGGGCCGCCAUGAGGGCCGGGAAUGUGAAGGAAGCCCAGGAAACAAUAGGAAGAGUGUUUAUCGGAGCGAGGGCACCAUGUGCAGGAGGGAUUACCACAGAAUUAUGACUGCAAGACGCCUCGCCAUCUGGGCACACAGUGCAGUAAAGGCACAACGUAAUGAGUCUGCAGGAAAAUAACGGCCGAUGAAAAGGACAAAUGUGAGCUGGGAGCUUUUAUCCAUGUCAGAUAAAACUGGUGGGGUAUAUUUAGGCUUGGCAUGUUAAUGGGACCUUCAGGAGUCGCAUUUAAAUGUAGAGUAACAGGGAUCGGUCUAUUCAGUCUAAAACUGUGAUAUAAUUCUGAGUAAGUUUAACACCUGUAUUUUCUGCAUCAAUUUAAAAAAAAAUUUAACAGUAGGAAAAUGUCUUGUUUCCCUGCAGAUUAAAAUGAAUUAUUUUUAAUAUUA